rnacentral:lncRNA from 1 species
GUUUUCAAUGGAAAUAUUUGAAUGACAAUUACUUCUGUAAAUUAAAAUAAGGGUAAAGGGUAUGCAGAAAUAUAAUCUUUUUCCAGUACGUGAUAAAUUCUGAAAAUGUAGCAGUUUGUGUUUCCUGUGUGAAUUACUCAUUUAAUUUCCCCCAUGUAUUCCUCAUAUCAGAGGUGUCGGGUGUGUGUGGACUGUGGCGCUCAUGGUCUGACGCUGCCCGGCUCAACCCACUGGUUUGACAACUAUGCCGUGUGUGAGGGCUGCCAACGUACCCGCAGCUCUAUGUGUGGUGUCUGCAGCAAAGCCUCGGAACCACCCGUCAUGCUGCCGCGCUGCAUCAACUGCCUCAGGUGGGUUCACAGUGAAUGCUCCUCUAUAUCAGAGCCACCUGAGGAAAAGUGUAUCUGUUCGCUCUGCCGAGACAGAGAGCCUCUGGCAGACCCUGUCACACAGACAGACAUGGUGGAAAUGCAGAUUACAGAGAAAGACCGGUCUGAGGUGACGAUAGAAGGACAGACGGACACAUUGGCUGAGAUGACACUCCAGACAGAAGCAGCGGGUGAGGUGACGAUAGAAGGACAGACUGACACAUUGGCUGAGAUGACACUCGAGACAGAAGCAGCGGGUGAGGUGACGAUAGAAGGACAGACUGACACAUUGGCUGAGAUGACACCGACAGAAGCAGCGGGUGAGGUGACGAUAGAAGGACAGACUGACACAUUGGCUGUGACACUCCCGACAGAAGCAGCGGGUAGGUGACGUAGACGAACAAACAUGACACAUUGGCUGAGAUGACACUCCAGACAGAAGCAGCGGGUGAGGUGACGAUAGAAGGACAGACGGACACGUUGGCUGAGAUGACACUCCAGACAGAAGCAGCGGGUGAGGUGACGAUAGAAGGACAGACGGACACGUUGGCUGAGAUGACACACCAGACAGAAGCAGCGGGUGAGGUGACGAUAGAAGGACAGACGGACGUGUCCAAGAUGACCGGGGUACAGACGAAGACCAAGUCGGACGAGGAGGUGCCCAUGGAGCUGGGUACGUUGACUGGACUGCUUUCUGUUGUCCUUGAUAAAAGGGCCUACAGAUAUUGAUAGAAGGGUAGCGUUGACUGCUCCAUCUCUGAUAGAGCAAAAUGGUUAACUCUACCCUCGUUUAUCUUAUCUAAGCCACCCUGAGUCAAUGUAAUUUCUGGGAUGCACUAAAGAAUGGUAUAGAAUCUGAGUGUAUGGUGUUAGUGGUGUGAUGAAGCUGAUUUAGUCUUUUCAACAGGGA